GUGGGGAAUUUUGGACAAUGGGCGCAAGCCUGAUCCAGCCAUUCCGCGUGCAGGAUGAAGGCCUUCGGGUUGUAAACUGCUUUUGUACGGAACGAAAAGGUUCUCUCUAAUACAGGGGGCUGAUGACGGUACCGUAAGAAUAAGCACCGGCUAACUACGUGCCAGCAGCCGCGGUAAUACGUAGGGUGCAAGCGUUAAUCGGAAUUACUGGGCGUAAAGCGUGCGCAGGCGGUGAUGUAAGACAGAUGUGAAAUCCCCGGGCUCAACCUGGGAACUGCAUUUGUGACUGCAUUGCUGGAGUGCGGCAGAGGGGGAUGGAAUUCCGCGUGUAGCAGUGAAAUGCGUAGAUAUGCGGAGGAACACCGAUGGCGAAGGCAAUCCCCUGGGCCUGCACUGACGCUCAUGCACGAAAGCGUGGGGAGCAAACAGGAUUAGAAACCCGUGUAGUCC
rnacentral:rRNA from 1 species